rnacentral:rRNA from 1 species
UCCAGACUCCUACGGGAGGCAGCAGUGAGGAAUAUUGGUCAAUGGCCGGAAGGCUGAACCAGCCAAGCCGCGUGAAGGACGAAGGUGCCAAGCAUUGUAAACUUCUUUUGUCAAGGGACAAAAUCAGGCUCGAGAGCCUGACCGAGGGUACUUGAAGAAAAAGCAUCGGCUAACUCCGUGCCAGCAGCCGCGGUAAUACGGAGGAUGCGAGCGUUAUCCGGAUUUAUUGGGUUUAAAGGGUGCGCAGGCGGAAUGUCAAGUCAGCGGUAAAAUUUCGGGGCUCAACCCCGUCGUGCCGUUGAAACUGGCGUUCUUGAGUGAGCGAGAAGUAUGCGGAAUGCGUGGUGUAGCGGUGAAAUGCAUAGAUAUCACGCAGAACUCCGAUUGCGAAGGCAGCAUACCGGCGCUCAACUGACGCUCAUGCACGAAAGCGUGGGUAUCGAACAGGAUUAGAUACCCUAGUA